rnacentral:rRNA from 1 species
CUUGCUUCUUUGCUGGCGACCGGCGCACGGGUGAGUAACACGUAUCCAACCUGCCUUUACUCGGGGAUAGCCUUUCGAAAGAAAGAUUAAUACCCGAUAGUAUAAUGAUUCCGCAUGGUUUCAUUAUUAAAGGAUUCCGGUAAAGGAUGGGGAUGCGUUCCAUUAGGUUGUUGGUGAGGUAACGGCUCACCAAGCCUUCGAUGGAUAGGGGUUCUGAGAGGAAGGUCCCCCACAUUGGAACUGAGACACGGUCCAAACUCCUACGGGAGGCAGCAUG